UGCCUACGGGGCGCAGCAGUGGGGAAUAUUGCGCAAUGGGCGAAAGCCUGACGCAGCGACGCCGCGUGAGCGAUGAAGUAUUUCGUUAUGUAAAGCUCUAUCAGCAGGGAAGAAAAUGACGGUACCUGAGUAAGAAGCCCCGGCUAACUACGUGCCAGCAGCCGCGGUAAUACGUAGGGGGCAAGCGUUAUCCGGAUUUACUGGGUGUAAAGGGAGCGUAGACGGCAGUGCAAGUCUGGAGUGAAAGGCGGGGGCUCAACCCCCGGACUGCUCUGGAAACUGUACGGCUGGAGGGCAGGAGAGGG
rnacentral:rRNA from 1 species